GGGGGGACCAUCCUCCAAGGCUAAAUACUCCUGACUGACCGAUAGUGAACCAGUACCGUGAGGGAAAGGCGAAAAGAACCCCGGCGAGGGGAGUGAAACAGAACCUGAAACCGUGUACGUACAAGCAGUGGGAGCCUUCGUAAGAGGGUGACUGCGUACCUUUUGUAUAAUGGGUCAGCGACUUAUAUUCUGUAGCAAGGUUAACCGUAUAGGGGAGCCGAAGGGAAACCGAGUCUUAACCGGGCGUUAAGUUGCAGGGUAUAGACCCGAAACCCGGUGAUCUAGCCAUGGGCAGGUUGAAGGUUGGGUAACACUAACUGGAGGACCGAACCGACUAAUGUUGAAAAAUUAGCGGAUGACCUGUGGCUGGGGGUGAAAGGCCAAUCAAACCGGGAGAUAGCUGGUUCUCCCCGAAAGCUAUUUAGGUAGCGCCUCGUGAACUCAUCUCCGGGGGUAGAGCACUGUUUCGGCUAGGGGGCCAUCCCGGCUUACCAACCCGAUGCAAACUGCGAAUACCGGAGAAUGUUAUCACGGGAGACACACGGCGGGUGCUAACGUCCGUCGUGAAGAGGGAAACAACCCAGACCGCCAGCUAAGGUCCCAAAGUCAUGGUUAAGUGGGAAACGAUGUGGGAAGGCCCAGACAGCCAGGAUGUUGGCUUAGAAGCAGCCAUCAUUUAAAGAAAGCGUAAUAGCUCACUGGUCGAGUCGGCCUGCGCGGAAGAUGUAACGGGGCUAAACCAUGCACCGAAGCUGCGGCAGCGACACUAUGUGUUGUUGGGUAGGGGAGCGUUCUGUAAGCCUGUGAAGGUGUGCUGUGAGGCAUGCUGGAGGUAUCAGAAGUGCGAAUGCUGACAUAAGUAACGAUAAAGCGGGUGAAAAGCCCGCUCGCCGGAAGACCAAGGGUUCCUGUCCAACGUUAAUCGGGGCAGGGUGAGUCGACCCCUAAGGCGAGGCCGAAAGGCGUAGUCGAUGGGAAACAGGUUAAUAUUCCUGUACUUGGUGUUACUGCGAAGGGGGG
rnacentral:rRNA from 1 species